UGAGGCUGUGAUGCUACGUCAACCUACUUUAUUGGUCCAACCACCCUUUGUGGGUUUUCGCUUAGUCUGGGGAAGUGGCGCCGUAAAGAUGGUUUUUACCAGCCUCCUUUAUUUUUGGGCUCUUUUACCCAUGACCUUGGGGUCAUGUCCACCCUUUUUCAUCUGUUUUUUCUCAUGACGCCAUUUUGGGGCUUUCAUCAUGCCCGGGUUUUUAUUUUCAUAGAACUCUUUUACUCAGGACUUCAUGACCAUGCCUGUCCAUCAUUUUUACUCAUGGCAUUCCCUUAUCCAAG
rnacentral:lncRNA from 1 species